CAUGUCUAUCUUUUUUCUGGUAAUCUAGCCUCUGUUUCAUUUCAUCUGUAUGGCCUUCUCAUAUUGCAGGGGCUCUCUCAUUGAGCUGUUGCUUGAUGGUACUGCCUCUCGUCAUAGAUUAUUUAGCUGCCAGGGAUUUCAGAAAGCAAAAGGGACUUUGGGUAGGCUAGCUGGGCUUCAUGUUGUGGGUCAUCGUCUCAUUGUUAGGGGUGAGAUUGUUUGCACUUUACAGGAGACUAUUGGGUCCUCUGACAGGAAUCAUUGAACACUGCUUGGACUCCAGCACAAGGCAGAUCCUUCUCUCAGCCCUUGCCAGAACGGUGGUGCAGUGAUGUAUUACCUGCCAACAGCACAAUGUGAGGCAGGGUCCAGCCGUUCUGCCCAGCAUACAACUUGAGGGAGCAGCCCCUUUUGAAGACCUCCAGGUGGACUUCACAGGAAUGCCAAAGUGUGGAGUGAUCAUGUGUGGAUCAAGGACUGGAAUGUAGCCCACCCACAACUACGGUGGGAAGGACCCCAGACCAUCAUUUUGACGACUCUCACAGCAUGAAAAUAGAAGGAUUCCCAGCCUGGAUCAAUCACAGUCAUGUAUCAUCUACAUUGUCUGAGACCUGAGAGGUGAGACUGAGCCUGGUGGACCCCUGCAAAGUGACAUUGAGAAAGAUGGCAAGCCCUGCUACAGUCACAACCAGAAGCUUACUGUUGUAUGCAUGGCAAAAGAAUGAGGAUACUCAUCAUGGGAUUUAUUCUCCUUAAAAUUUGUACUUCUAUAAUAAAGACUGAUUUUUCCUGCAUGGAGGACUGUUC
rnacentral:lncRNA from 1 species